GGGAAAUGAGAAGCAGGACUUGUCAGGGAGCAAGAGGGAGUUGAAUUCAGGAGGAGAGCGCACUGGUUCUAACGAUGGAUUUUAAGGUUCAUCAUUUCGGCUCCUCGCUUCCUCUGUUCCCAUUUUUCUUCCUACUGUAUGGGUGGUGAGCUAUGACUGUCAACUUGACAUAGACUAUAGUCCUCUGACAGCAGAGAUUUACUGAAGGAACUGCAUAGAUCAGAUUGUUUUCUGGCAUGUCUUGAAUGUCAAUUCUAAGAUACCAUUGAAAGAACUCGGAGCAUCGAUCAAGUAGAACAGUUUUCCAGUGAUUAAAGCAUCAAUGAAGAUAAUUCUCAAUUCUUCCUCAGAUGGCCUAGGUAAACAUUAUUCUGUUCACUGUGUGCAAUCAACUGUUUUAAACUAUACAUGGCUGGCCAUUUAGGUAUUAUUGUAUGUCUCCUAGUGAUGUCAGAAGCUACAUGGGUAAUUUUGACACACAUGACUUCCUUAAAUGAACUGAAGAAGGCCAACAACAUGCAUGCUAAAUAGAUAGGAAAGCGUACAAGCAAAAAAAGGACCACAGGCAACUAAGGAAUACUGAGAGAGGAAAAAGCUGUCUUCCCCAGAGAAGAACACAGAAACUGGAAGGAUCAUUUUUUUAAGUUUUGCCUUUCAAACUCAGAGGAGAUCGUCCUACUUUCUUUCUUUGUACUUGUAAUUAUAAGAAAAUGAUACCUC